AAAUGAAGCAAACAUGGUAAUAUACACUAAAAUUGAAUUGGGUCUCCAAGCCACCUCUCUCUGAUGCCAUUUGGUUUUGAUUUGAGAGAAUGGUUCGGCAGCAAAACA